UAUAUGUACCCAUACUUGUACUUUCAAUAUACAGGAAGUAAUUUCACUAAAAAGGAAACAAAUAUAACGAUCACAUACCAUAUCAUUCAUCAUAUUUGCUGUUAUUUACAUGCUUAGUGCCAGCAUAGAUUAGACUAAACAAGUAAUUGUAAAUUCCAUAAGAACAUGACACUGGGUGUCCAGUAUACGACAAGGAAAUCUAUAGCAAAGGGCAUGCUAGAUAUGGCUCUGUUACUGUCCAAUGUUUCAAAAAUGAAGAAAAUGCUGUCUCUCGAUUGCAUUGACAGUGCCAAGUGUGUAACAGGAGUAGUAUUUCUAUCAAUUUCAGUAUGUUUACAAGUUGCAGUUGGUGUGAUGCUGAUUAUUCUAGCAAUUCGUGAACAGCACGCUGUAAAAGAGCAAGAACGAAAACUCAGAGAUAAAAAGGAAGACAAAUUGUUAAGUAGUGGUAGUAAAAGCGAACCACCGGAACCAAACUCCAAUGACAGCAAUAGUCAUCGUGAUCAUCCCAAACUGAAAAAACAACUAUCUCUGGGAGCGGAAUCAACCACUUUAAGCAACGAAAAGCUAACGAUGAGACUGAAUACAGCCGUUCUUAUUCUCGUUUUUAUUAUCGUUGUUUUAAAUGUAAUAAUAGACGGUAUGGACUUAAGUGACCCUCCACCAGGAGUUGAAAGUCCAGUUAAAAAUGCAUAAUUGAUUUCAUGUUCUCAUUUAUGUUAUGAGAUGGACUUGACUGCGGAAAUUGUUAACUUUUAAAAAUAACUUUGUGUGCGUUAAAGCGGUUAGCCAUUUCUUUACUUUGUGAGUUUGUAUUGUAACAAAUAUUUGACAAAAUGGUACCUGCAUGACCAAUUCGCGUAAAAUUGAGGGAACUGUUCCAAAUGACAAUAAAGACCUGGUCUUAUACGGGAACAUACAUUUUAGUCAGUUGAUUGCCACUAUCAAUUCUUAAAAAGUAAAAUAGAAAAACUUAAGUUUGUAAAA